rnacentral:rRNA from 1 species
UACGAAGGGUGCAAGCGUUACUCGGAAUUACUGGGCGUAAAGCGUGCGUAGGUGGUUCGUUAAGUCUGCCGUGAAAGCCCCGGGCUCAACCUGGGAAUGGCGGUGGAUACUGGCGGACUAGAGUGCGGUAGAGGGUGGUGGAAUUCCCGGUGUAGCAGUGAAAUGCGUAGAGAUCGGGAGGAACAUCUGUGGCGAAGGCGGCCACCUGGACCAGCACUGACACUGAGGCACGAAAGCUAGGGGAGCAAACAGG